UCUUUGAGAAAUGGGUUGGCCACAAAAUCCCAUGAUGAUCCCCCAACUGAAAGACCCCCAUUUCGGGGAGACCCUCGCUCAAGUCCUGGGAUGAGCCGGCACCCCAAUAACGCAAGAGAAACC
rnacentral:pre_miRNA from 7 species